rnacentral:rRNA from 1 species
AUUGAACGCUGGCGGAAUGCUUUACACAUGCAAGUCGAGCGGCAGCACGGGGGCAACCCUGGUGGCGAGCGGCGAACGGGUGAGUAAUACAUCGGAACAUGCCCAGUCGUGGGGGAUAACACUUAGAACGAAGUGCUAAUACCGCAUACGUCCUGAGGGAGAAAGCGGGGGAUCUGCGGACCUCGCGCGAUGUGAGUGGCCGAUGUCAGAUUAGCUAGUUGGUGGGGUAAAGGACUACCAAGGCAACGAUCUGUAGCUGGUCUGAGAGGAUGAUCAGCCACACUGGGACUGAGACACGGCCCAGACUCCUACGGGAGGCAGCAGUGGGGAAUUUUGGACAAUGGGGGCAACCCUGAUCCAGCCAUUCCGCGUGAGUGAAGAAGGCCUUCGGGUUGUAAAGCUCUUUCGGCAGGAACGAAACGGCGAGCUCUAACAUAGCUUGCUAAUGACGGUACCUGAAGAAGAAGCACCGGCUAACUACGUGCCAGCCGCCGCGGUAAAAC